rnacentral:rRNA from 1 species
GACGAACGCUGGCGGCGUGCUUAACACAUGCAAGUCGAACGGAAAGGCCUGCUUUCCCUUGUGGAUUGCGGGUACUCGAGUGGCGAACGGGUGAGUAACACGUGAGUGAUCUGCCCCCAACUUGGGUAUAAGCCGGAAACUGGGUCUAAUUCCCGAUAGGACUGCAGGGUGGUGCCUGUGGUGGAAAACGAUUUUCUAGUGGUUGGGGAUGAGCUCGCGGCCUAUCAGCUUGUUGGUGGGGUAAUGGCCUACCAAGGCGGCGACGGGUAGCCGGCCUGAGGGGGGGGAGGGCCAAAUUGGGACUGGGAAACGGCCCAGACUCCUACGGGAGGCAGCGGUGGGGAAUAUUGCAAAAGGGGCGGAAGCCGGAGGCGGCGACGCCGGGGGGGGGAUGACGGCCUUCGGGUUGGAAACCCCUUUCGGCGGCGGGGAAGCCACCUGGUUGGAAGGGUGGUGCGGGUAGGGGUAAAAAAAGCCCCGGCUAACUACGU